rnacentral:lncRNA from 1 species
GGAACUCCUCCAGGUAUUUUUUAAUUUCCUUCUUCAUUUCCUCAUUGACCCAUUGGUUUUUUUAGUAGCAUGUUGUUUAGUCGCCAUGUAGUAGGUUUUUUUCUCAUUUCUUUCCCUGUGGUUGAUUUCUAGUUUCAUGCCAUUGUGGUCAGAGAAAAGACUUGAAAUAAUGUCUAUACUCUUAAAUUUGUUGAGGUUAGCUUUGUGAAUUCAUGGAACACACAGAAUUAGGAAGGGGUGCGUUUUGGUAGAGAACAGGCACCUUUGGGGGGAGACCAGGAUCGCUCAUUAAAACGCCGAGGUCGGGGGAAGCUUGCUAUGGAGCACGGGGUCCUGCAGGGUAAAAACACGAUGCUGGGUGACAAAGCCGAGGCCAGGACAGGGGCUGGCCUGGAGAGACUGCAGAGAUUAUUGGAGCAGUGUUUCUCUUGGCAUUGGGACUAAUAAUUAAAAAAGCAGCCACCUUCACUCCAUAGACAUGGUCUCUGUAGUUCUCUGCAAAUAAGUGGUCUCAAAAAAAAAAAAAAUCUUUUUUUUUCCCUUUUCCUUCCUUCCUUCUUUUCUCUCUCUCUUUCUUUCUCUCUCUUCUUCCUUCCUUCCUCCCUUCCUUCCUUCCUCCCUUCCUUCCUGCCUCCCUCCCUUCCUUUCCUUCCUCCCUCCCUCCCUCUCUUUCUUUUGCUAAACCUUCAUAAUAAGACCCUUCCCACAGGCCAUGUGAGGAGGCUGAAGAUGGGUCCUUGCUGUGUUCAACACUGCUCCCUCUGGGAACAUCCACGUGGGUCCCCUGAGUAUUUUAGGGGCUGCUGAGCUUGGGAGCCUGGUGGUACCUGCGAGUGGGUGCUGUCCGAUUGGCUGGCUGAUCAUCCCCCCCAUCCCUCUCAGCCAAUCCUGGGGGAGGGGGUGUGGCCAGGACACAAGCACCCUAGGGGAGAUUGUCAGAUAGCAGCCAGUGUGCAUGGUCCAGUCCUGACCCAGUUUACCCAGUUUCUCAGUCCCAGGGCCUUGGAUGUGGGUUUCCCCUGGUCCCUGCGGGUCACCUGCUUCUGUUCAGCUCUUGUUGGUUAGUGUCUGGUGUUUGAUCGUCUGCUUUGGGUUGGGUGUCCAAACACAGGUGGGGGCUGGGGCUUCAGCACAGGUCAGAGGCCCCCCCCCGGGUGUUUCUCGGCUUUUCAGCUCCUACCUGGGGCACUAGAGAGCCCUCUGCCUGCCUUGUUAGACUCUCACACAUGUGGGGGUUACACACGUGGGGGUUGCACGCGCGGCCAUCCUGGGUUUCUCGCCCUCCUCUUGUGAGUUACAUUGAGUCAAAAGGGUUCCCUCCCCCUCCCUGCCCAGGGGGCGGGAGGAUGUAUGUUUCAGCGGGUUGUGAGUGACAUCAGUUCGGCUGGCCCUACUCUGCAGAGUCAGAGUGCCCACGACGGUGCCCCGUGUGAGAGGAGUACGAGGGUCCUGCUGGGCCAGCUUCCUGACGGACCCGACAGACCAGACAGAGGCGGUCAGGCUCUCCCCUUCUGGAAACAGCGGUAGGACUGGGAGAGCCGGCCCAGGGUGGAUUUGGGGCUUCCCGCAUCCCCCCUGGGGUGGGGGCACAUUUGGCAGAAGAGAGGCCAUGUGGUUGUGUAGAUAGGGCCUCUCUUAGAGCCUGUUCUGGGAUUGAAUCCUGGCUGUGUGACGUGGCCAAGUUACACGCCUUCUCUGAGCCUCCUGUGUGUCGUGUCCUGUCUAAAGUGAGGCUAACAGAUGUGCCUGGCAAUUGUGGGAAGGACGCAGCUUCUUGAGCGCACCUCGCACAGUGCUUAGCAUUCAGCAGGUGCUUAGUCAGGGCCCGUUGUUCAGCCGGGCUGGACCCAGCUGUGGUGAUUGGAAAGACAGGAGGUUGUGCAGGUGACAAAACCUUCUAGCAGUCAGUUAAUUUUGCUGAUUUGGACGGAGGGGCCACAGGGCGCCGUCUGGGCUUCCAGGCCCUGAAAGGUCAGUCGUGCCGUCAUCGUCCCUUCUCUGCAGACCCCCCACCCCACCCCCACUCCCUGGAGAACUGCUGCAUUACUGUCCCAGUCCAUUCAAGACAGCGUCUGUGAGGUCACCCCCUUUUCUCUGACCAGACCCUGGGGGAGAUGCUCACCGUGCAGACCCUCAGCUUUGGGCUCAGAUUAUAGAUCACUCUGGUUUGGCUUCUCAUUCUCGUUGGAUUUAGCAGGGCGCGGUGGGAGAGGGUGGUGACAGAAGGAGCAGGGGCCGUGGGGAGAUGAGGGGUGCAGGUGGGUGCAGGUGUUAAAUUCCCGUGUUCUAGCCCAGGGUUCCUCAGCCUCGGUGCUGCUGACAUUUUGGGGGCGGUGGGCGGCCUUGCGUGUAUUGUAAGAGAGGCCAGUGGCCCCCCUUCUGCAGGUGUGACCCCUGAGAACGUCUCCAGAUGUUAUAUCAGUUGUUUCCUGGGAGGGACAGUUGAGAAUCACUGGUCUCACCCCCCCACCACCCCCCCCACCUUGCAAGGUGGCUUCUGGGCAGGAAAACGAGGAAAGGAUUGCCUCUGUUUCCAGGUUCUGUUCUGCGUGGGUUUGAACCCGCCCAGUGAAAUAUUCAAGGAAUUUAAGAGCGGGAAGGCGCCCAGGCCAGGCCUUGACCCGGGCAGACCGCUCUGUGCUCAAGUGAAAGGGUCGAGGGAGGGAUGCCCCCCCGCCCCCCCAUCCCGUGGAGCUUUUCACGGAGAACCUCUUUUCAGGCCUCCAGGAGUUUGGUUACUAGCUCGUGAGUCUGAUCUGCCCUCCCAUCCUCUGCACACACACAUUCAUCACUCAGGAGCAGGCCCCUCUGUGUGCACAGAAUGGACUUUUAUUUGAAAUGAUUCAUUACCAAAAAAAAAGUUUCACUUGCGAGGACGCUGCUGCCGUCUCUCCUCCCCUUUGAUUCCUUCUCUGUCCUCCGUAAGCUGAGCCUGGAAGGGGGUGUCUGAUGAGACUGGUUGGCCAGGGAUUUUCCUAGGCUCUGAUUAAAGGCAAAUUAUCAAAUGGAAGUUGAAUGUUGCUGCUGUGCUUGUAAAAAAGUCAGUUGUGUGCCAUAAAAUCCAUCACAGCUCCCUCGGUGAGAAGGAGGAGGGCCGCGAACUGUUUAGUGAUGUUCGUUUAGUUUCUGACGGCUUGGCUGCCAUGCCUGAGAAAGGCAGCCCGUCGGCACAGUGGGCUGCGGUGUUUGCAGCUUUGGGUAAGCGAGUGAACCAGAAGCUUGCUCACCGUGAUCCGUGGGAAGCUCAGAGACGAGACCUGGGUGGUGCCAGCAUGUUGCCAGGCAGUAGCUUUAGAUAUUGAACUUGGGGGAACCAGAUGGCUUUAUGUGCUGCAUGGAAGGGGUGGGGGGGGGGUGCUGAUGUCUCAGCGACUUCGGCUUCCCUUUUAUUUAGAACAAAAGACCCUUGUCCAGUGGGAGUUGGUGUGGGGAUCUGGGCUGCAAGAAGCAGUGUGGCCCAAUGGUUAAGAGCAUGGGCACAUGGGUCUGAAGGUGGGACCCUGGACAAGUUAUUUAAUCUCCCUGUGCAUCUGUUUCUUCAUCUGUAAAAUGUGGUGAGAGUCCUUGUACCUGCUUUGGGUGGUUUAAGGAAUUAAUGGGAGGGGAGGGCUGAGCCUAGAACCUGAUGAGGAGUUAGGAACCUACUCUUACUUAGAUGAUUAGUAGUAUGUUUUUCUGGAAGGAGCGAUCAGCCUUGCUCCGGAGGUUUAAUGACAGUGAGUGGGUUUCACACGUCAAUGUGCAAAAAAAUCACAUGGGCUUUUCCUUGGAUGUGUUGAAAUCAGGCCCUCAGUUGAGGGGCCCAGACGGUGCUGAUGCAGUAGGGUGGGCAUGCAGGGUCUGCAGAGAACUUUGUGACUCCUCCUUUUUUUUUAAUUGAAAAAAAAUUUUUUUUUUGCAUUUCAUUUUAUUGGAGUAGAGUUGAUGUACAGUGUUGUAUUAGUGUCAGGUGUAUAGCAUAUACAUUUUUUUUCAAAUAUAAAUAUAUAUGUAUUUUUUCAAACUCUGGAGUAGAUUCUCUUGUGCUAUACAGUAGAUUCUCAUUGGGUGCUUUUUUUUUUAGGGCUACACCCGUGGCAUAUGGAAGUUCCCAGGCCAGGGGUCGAAUUGGAGCUGCAGCUGCUGGCCUAUGCCACAGUCACAGUAACGCAGGAUCUGAGCCAUGUCUGCGACCUCCACCACAGCUCACGGCAACACUGGCUCCUUAACCCACUGAGCGAGGCCAGGGAUCGAACCUGCGUCCUCAUGGAUACUAGUCGGGUUUGUUAACCACUGAGCCUCGAUGGGAACUCCCUGUUAGGUGACUCCUUAACGGCAGCGUUUCCCGGAUUCUCGAGGAACAAGAGUCCCCAAUGCCAUCACCACAUCCGUCUUCCCCUCGGAUCAUCUAGAAACAGUUCUGUGCACACCUGAUUUGGGUGCUGGGUGGGCGCGAUGGGUGUGGAUGGCUCAGGCUGCUCCUCUCUGCUCCUGGGCAAAUCGAGUCCUGCCUGCACCCUCUGAGGGCUGGGCCGGCACCAGCAGCGGUGAGGUGAGAGAAGGUUUGUCUGCCGUGUCCUGUGUCUGGCUGAGCCCGUGCCCCACGCCCCGUUCUCCCUUUGCCAGUAAGAGCUCUGGGCCUGUUUCAGUGGGUAACUAGUAUGUGUGUGUGUGCGUGUGUGUGUGCACACGCGUGCAAAAGAAAAGAUCAACACGUUUUGGGGAGUGUUUUAGGAAAAUAGCAAGGAGCCAGUUGCCAAGAUUUGCUUCUAUGUUUCUUUUCCUUUGCUUUUUGCUGGGUGCAUGUGUGAUCAGCAUCCCGGAGCGCUCGGAGAUACAGCUUUGCCUUUUCUUACCCCAACUGUUCCUUCUUACCGCGGAGAGGCUACAAUUCAGCACCAAUAAUACUGAGCAAUAAAUAACCCGGAGAAGAUGAAUAGCCUUGUGUGGUGGUAAAUUAAAGUUGAUUUAUUGCACAUAAUAUAUACAGGUGCUCGUAAUGUAAUUAAGCAGGGAGGCUUUUAAUGCUGCAGAAUCUGAAAGAAGACCCAAGAAAAUUGGGUCUUAAUAAGGCUUAUUGAAGUCACAGCUAAACAUGCUGCUUAGAACCAUUAGAGGCGGCUGAAAGAUGGAUCGACUGCUCUGCUUUUUCUCAUGUGUGGAGGUGACACACCUGACCCGUUGUCGUCGUCGUCGUCAGCAGGGCACGCACCGGAAUUGUUCUCCCCGCACCAGGAGGUGCUGUCUCCGCACCCUGGCCUCGCCCCUCUUGUGACCAGCUGUCAGGUGGCUGGCCGUCGAACCGGCUUUUUCCAAGUGCAGGGCAAGGUGGCCCGUGGGUGUGGAACUCGUGACCACAGCCUCAUCAGCAUCCUCUUCUAAGACCUGGGACAGGCAAGAGAGGGUUGGUAAAUUCGUAGACGGAGGCCACCUCCCCCCGAUUUCCCCCACUGUCAGCUUAACACGGUGCUGGAGUUGGGGGAGACAGGGAUGAAAACAACAGGCAGAGUAAACCCCCCCCCGCCCCUUCCUCAUCAGGGCUAGUGGGCGUGUGAGAAGGCUGGGAUGGAGGCCAAGGCCACAGGACAGAAGAGGGGCCAGCUCCCUAGGAGGGGCAUCUGUGGGGAAUGGGUCGGCGGCGGCGGGGGGGGGGGGGGGGGCUGCCGUGGGUGCAGGUAGAGCCGUGGGGCAGCAGCCCCCAGGGGAAUGGGUGCUGGAGGGAGGGGUCAGGGUGUGGGUGGGAGAGGAGGUUGGAUGGGUGGCUUGGGGGCAAGAACAGGAAAGAUGUUGCCAGCUGAGAUAUGGGAUUGCAAAGACCCAAAGGCAGUCUGCAAUCCCGCUGGCCUGUGAGCCCCGGCAGGACCAAAUUCAUCUUCGAGAAAGGAAAACUCUCAGCAGCAUUGCAGAGUUAGAGGGAGACCAUGUAGCCAAGAGAACAUGGCCUGGACAAGAGCAGAGGCCGAGUGAAUAUGAAAAAGCAGUGGGGUGAGAGUUAAAGUCCCCACCUGUGCCUUCGGGGACUCCAGGGGAUGUGGCUGGGGUCCUAGAGAGAGGAUGAGUCAGUUGGGGGCCAGUACUGGUGCAAGAACCCCCCUGGGGGACUUGUUAGAAAUGGAAGUGGGGGGGCCCUCAUCUUGGGGUCUCCAGUUCCUGGGGUCUUUUUGUCUGGGACAGUACCAGGGCUGUCACUUAGAGAGGCGGCUCUAAGUUGCCCCUGGACAUGAGUGGGUUAUUCCCCAGUGUUCGGGACCAGGAAGGAUAGGAGAGUUUCUUGCAAGCCUGUAGAUACGGACCUGUAGAGAGUUAUCUGUAGGGGCUUAAGAUUUUAGGCAGCUG